rnacentral:snoRNA from 1 species
CCCCUCUCAGGGUCGCACCUGGAGAAUUUCCAGUACUCUACCAGUCGCGACUAUGGGAGGGAGAGUCAAGCAGAGGCCUACUCAUUCCAUUCCUAGCUUGGACUUUGGCUAGUGAGUGGAGGGCAAUCUGCUACAGGU